UCCCUUUUCUAAUUCAUAUUUUUACGCUAAAACGCACGAAACAGGGGCGAGCUCUCUGUCUCUAUUAUUUUUACAUUGCACCAAUCAAAGAACACCUCUUUCUCUGUUAAAAGCACGAUCUCGAUCCAGGCUUCUUCUUUAAUUAGUCUUCGAAAAUGCCUCUCAGACUCGAAAUUAAGAGGAAACUUGCUCAAAAAUCAGAGAGAGUAAAAUCCGUAGAUCUCCAUCCAACAGAACCAUGGAUUCUAGCAAGUUUGUAUUCUGGAACUGUGUGCAUCUGGAACUACCAGUCACAGACCAUGGCUAAGUCAUUUGAAGUCACUGAGUUGCCAGUUAGGUCAGCCAAGUUCGUUGCACGCAAACAAUGGGUUGUUGCUGGAGCUGAUGACAUGUUUAUUCGAGUAUACAAUUACAACACAAUGGAUAAGGUCAAAAUAUUUGAGGCACAUACCGAUUACAUUAGAUGUGUCGCUGUCCAUCCUACUCUUCCUUAUGUGUUGUCUUCAUCUGAUGAUAUGCUCAUUAAGCUUUGGGAUUGGGAUAAGGGUUGGGUGUGUACUCAGAUAUUUGAGGGACAUUCCCAUUAUGUCAUGCAAGUGACCUUUAAUCCCAAGGACACUAAUACUUUUGCUAGUGCAUCUCUUGACCGUACUAUAAAGAUUUGGAACCUUGGCUCCCCCGACCCAAAUUUUACUCUGGAUGCCCAUCAGAAAGGUGUAAAUUGUGUUGAUUACUUUACAGGAGGUGAUAAGCCCUAUCUGAUCACUGGUUCUGAUGACCACACUGCUAAGGUAUGGGACUACCAGACAAAGAGUUGUGUUCAGACAUUGGAAGGCCACACGCACAAUGUUUCUGCUGUUUGUUUCCAUCCUGACCUUCCCAUUAUUAUCACUGGUUCUGAGGAUGGGACAGUUCGUAUCUGGCAUGCUACCACUUAUAGGCUAGAAAAUACAUUGAAUUAUGGUCUUGAGAGAGUUUGGGCAAUUGGAUAUAUGAAAGGUUCACGGAGGAUUGUGAUUGGGUAUGACGAAGGAACUAUUAUGGUGAAAAUUGGCCGUGAAGUACCUGUAGCAAGUAUGGACAACAGUGGGAAAAUCAUAUGGGCUAAGCAAAAUGAAAUUCAAACUGUGAAUAUUAAGAGUGUAGGAGCAGAUUUUGAGGGUACUGAUGGAGAAAGAUUGCCCUUAGCUGUUAAGGAAUUGGGGACCUGUGAUCUGUACCCUCAAAGCUUAAAGCAUAACCCAAAUGGGAGGUUUGUUGUUGUAUGUGGAGAUGGUGAGUACAUUAUAUAUACAGCUUUGGCUUGGAGAAAUAGGUCAUUUGGUUCUGCGUUAGAAUGUGUUUGGUCAGCUGAUGGUGAGUAUGCUGUUAGAGAAAGCACAUCAAAGAUUAAGAUUUUCAGCAAAAGUUUCCAGGAAAAGAGGAGUGUCCGGCCAACCUUCUCUGCUGAGCGUAUUUUUGGGGGCACUCUACUGGCAAUGUGCUCCAAUGAUUUUAUUUGUUUUUACGAUUGGGCUGAAUGCAGGUUGAUUCGUCGAAUUGAUGUUACUGUGAAAAAUCUCUACUGGGCUGAUAGUGGUGACUUGGUGGCAAUCGCUAGUGAGACAUCUUUUUAUAUCCUGAAGUACAAUCGAGAUGUAGUUCAAUCUUACUUAGAUAGUGGAAGACCGGUUGAUGAAGAAGGAGUUGAGGAUGCAUUUGAACUACUUCAUGAAACCAAUGAACGUGUCAGGACCGGCAUUUGGGUUGGGGACUGUUUCAUUUACAACAACUCUUCUUGGAGGCUUAAUUACUGUGUCGGUGGAGAGGUAACGACAAUGUUUCAUUUGGAUCGUCCAAUGUACUUGUUGGGAUAUCUUGCUAGCCAAAGUCGGGUAUAUCUGAUAGACAAAGAGUUCAAUGUUAUGGGAUACACGUUACUUCUCAGCCUGAUUGAGUACAAGACUCUUGUGAUGCGUGGAGACUUGGAAAGGGCCAAUGAAAUUUUACCUUCUAUUCCCAAAGAGCACCAUAAUAGUGUGGCUCAUUUCCUGGAAUCACGAGGCAUGGUAGAGGAUGCACUAGAAGUAGCUACAGACCCUGAUUACAGAUUUGAGCUUGCCAUACAGCUUGGUAAACUAGAGAUUGCUAAGGAAAUUGCCGCAGAAGUUCAGAGUGAGUCUAAAUGGAAACAGUUGGGAAAAUUGGCUUUGUCCACUGGAAAGCUAGCAAUGGCUGAGGAAUGCAUGAAGCAUGCAAUGGACCUGAGUGGCUUAUUGCUGCUUUAUUCCUCUUUGGGCGAUGCCGAAGGAAUAUCAAGACUGGCAUCCCUUUCCAAAGAGCAGGGGAAGAACAAUGUUGCUUUCCUUUGUUUAUUCAUGUUGGGUAAAUUGGAGGAUUGCCUUCAGCUUUUAGUGGAAAGCAAUCGGAUACCAGAGGCUGCUCUUAUGGCUCGAUCUUAUCUUCCAAGCAAGGUUUCAGAGAUAGUGACAAUUUGGAGAAAAGACCUCUACAAGGUUAAUCCCAAAGCUGCUGAAUCUUUGGCUGAUCCUGGAGAGUAUCCUAACUUGUUUGAGGAUUGGGAGCUUUCUCUUUCUGUUGAGUCUAAACUGGCAGAAACAAGGGAUGUUUAUCCUCCUGCAUCGGGCUAUUUGAACCAUGCUGAUAGAUCACAGAUGACACUUGUGGAAGCUUUCAGAAACAUGCAAGUAGAGGAUGAGGAGCCACUUGAAAAUGGUGAUCUUUACCAUGAGUCUGCAGAACCAAAUGGAUGUAAUCAGAUUUCAGAGCAGAAUGGAGAAGAGGGUAGCCAAGAGGAGGCUGUUGUUGUGGAUGCUGAUUCUAAUGAUGGUGCAGUACUUGUCAAUGGUAACGAGCCUGAAGAAGAGUGGGGUACGAAUAAUGAAGGAUCCCGGUCAGCCUAAAAGCUAUUGGUUGGGGCAGUGUGAAAAUCGAAAUUUUGUCUCUGGUGAUUAAUUGAUUCUAAAACUGCUAACACCAGAUCACUAGGUCCCAUGAAGACAUUCAUUUCGAGCUCUACUCAGCAUUUAUUUAAGCAGAUUUUGAUCUAAAGGUCUGAUCAUCUUGCAUACCUGGUGGUUUGGAGCCACUGAGAACAUUGAUUUUGGGCAUGGGGAAGGCAUAUACAAGUAUUUGGUUAGCUUUGGAACUAUGAUUUUAGUUGCUUGUUUUAAUCUUUAGCAUAUAUAUAAUAUUCUUUUGAGGCAUUGUCCUAAAAAAAUUUGUCCGAUGUGCCAUUGUGAAUGUAGAAAGAAUUCGAGAAUUAGUGAUGAUAAUUACCCAAUUGCAGCCCAUUUUUAUGUUGUUUAAAGUUUA